GUGGGGAAUUUUGGACAAUGGGCGAAAGCCUGAUCCAGCCAUGCCGCGUGCAGGAUGAAGGCCUUCGGGUUGUAAACUGCUUUUGUACGGAACGAAAAGACUCUUUCUAAUAAAGAGGGUUCAUGACGGUACCGUAAGAAUAAGCACCGGCUAACUACGUGCCAGCAGCCGCGGUAAUACGUAGGGUGCGAGCGUUAAUCGGAAUUACUGGGCGUAAAGCGUGCGCAGGCGGUGAUGUAAGACAGAUGUGAAAUCCCCGGGCUCAACCUGGGAACUGCAUUGGUGACUGCAAGGCUGGAGUGCGGCAGAGGGGGAUGGAAUUCCGCGUGUAGCAGUGAAAUGCGUAGAUAUGCGGAGGAACACCAGUGGCGAAGGCGACAACCUGGACUGAUACUGACACUGAGGUGCGAAAGCGUGGGGAGCAAACAGGAUUAGAAACCCCGGUAGUCC
rnacentral:rRNA from 1 species